rnacentral:rRNA from 1 species
GAUGAACGCUAGCGGCAGGCCUAAUACAUGCAAGUCGAACGGUGUAGCAAUACACAGUGGCGCACGGGUGCGUAACACGUAUGCAACCUACCUUACAUUGGGGGAUAGCCUUUCGAAAGGGAGAUUAAUACCGCAUAAGACAGUAACUAGGCAUCUAGUAGCUGUUAAAGAUUUAUCGAUGUAAGCUGGGCAUGCGUCCAAUUAGUUAGUUGGCGAGGUAAUGGCUCACCAAGACGAUGAUUGGUAGGGGAACUGAGAGGUCAAUCCCCCACAAUGGCAAGGAGAUACGGGCCAGACUCCUACGGGCGGCAGCAGUAGGGAAUAUUGGGCAAUGGGCGCAAGCCUGACCCAGCCAUGCCGCGUGCAGGAAGAAGGCGUUAUGCGUUGUAAACUGCUUUUAUACAGGAAGAAACGACCCUUGCGAGGGGCAUUGACGGUACUGUAUGAAUAAGCACCGGCUAAUUCCGUGCCAGCCGCCGCCGUAACAC